CUAUACUUGGCGCUCAAAAGGUAAACCCAGAGAAAGCCAGUCUCAAUAAGGGUGCGGGCCGCGGAGUAAUUCCCUCCCCCAGAUACUCUCAACCUCUCUCUCCAAGGCCCCCAUGAUUCCAGCCUCCUUCCCACCUGGUGCCUCUUGGAGAAGGCCUACAGGAGAGUGUGCUCUGAAACCCAGGCAAACAAAUCUCACUCACCCGCCCCCUUGGCUGUCCAGUUCUUCUGGCAACUGUCUCUGGGGCCCAGGCCCCACCCAUUGUACCUGCUGAGCAGAGCCAUCUGAAGGCCUGACAGUCUGCUUGAAAUGGGCCAGCUGGGACUCUGUGGGGUCUCGGAAGAGAUUAGCUCACUCACAGCUCCCAAUGCCUUUCAAGGACCUGGCCUCAAAAGACAAGGCCACUCCAGCCAACCACAGGAAAAGAUCACCUGUCCUAACGAGCAGUGUUCUGUACACCAUAAAGUGAUGCGCCAGCGAAGUUACCCUCUUCAUCCACAUCUACCAGAACAGCUCACCUCAGACUGGACUGAAGAAAAGGAUGUUCCUCAGGCUUAAGGAAGAACAGCACAAGGGAGGUGACCGGGGACCCCUGUUCCAGACAAAACACAGAUAAAGGUCAGGUCAGUCUGGCCUCACCCCCUCACCAUAUCUGGCUUUGGAUUCCGUGAAAAUCGGUGGCUCGGUCCAAGAAAAUGUGUAGAGUUCCAAGCCCCAGAUGACAAAUCUCUGUUCCACCUCACAUUUUAAGAUGCACAGAACCAAGCACAAAGGAGGCUGGUCUGGGUGGCAUGGGAACAGUGGCAACUCCUUCUGAGACCCCGUGCCAACUCUCACUGGAUUGGAUACAGUUUCAUCUCCUUCCAUCUCUGAAGUGGAUUAACAUGGCUUUUUAGCCUUAUUAAGUGGCUGUUUCCAUUUUUCGGCUGAGAAAACAUAAAGCUCGAAAAGAACGACCCCAUCAGCCUUAGACCAAAUUGUAAGCAGUAAGGUGGGGAUUAAACCAGUGAGGACCUGCUGCUUUCCUGCACGCAGUGAGUCAAGAGAAUUCAAGCUCUAGCCGGGCUGCUGGGGGGUGGAAGAGGGUGUAGGGACCCUCUGUGUUAGAAGCCAUCUCUAUAGCCUCAUUAUGUAUUUUGCCUUAUUAGAUCCUUUCAUUGUAGGGAGCCCCGAACAGGAAAGUGACAACUGGUAACCCCAUCUACAGCACAGGCCAACAUGUGAAUUGUAGGAAGAAAAUGACAUCAGGUUCCUAAACCCUUUGUGGAUGUCAGGUUUACAUUUAAAGGUCCCUUGCCAAGACGGAGCAGUUGAGCCAAAAAUAAUCGACUUCUGCCAUCCAUCACUCUUACGGCUUAGCUCAAGGCAGCAAAGCAGAUUAUCAGUCAAGGAUCUUGAACUGAGACUUUGAAGUGUCCAGCGCUGUCUGGCUCAGCAGCCCCAAACAGGACUCACACGAAUGCGUCUGAGCAAGAUGCUCUUUCCUUGGCUGGGAGCUCUUCCUGCCUGUUGAGAGGACUUUCCCCAAGGCAGCCCUGGCUCUGCACUCUUGCCAGUCUUACUCCAGGGCCCAAGGCAAGUCAGUUCGCCUCUGCUUGUCUCAGUAUCCUCAUCAGUAGUGCAAGCAGGACAAUGCUACUUAACCUUUCUCCCAGGGAGGAUGUCAAAGGAGACAUUAAAAUGGGCUUUGGAAAACACCGUAGAGAGGAAUUGAUACUUGGGAGUUUUACACAUGUGGAAUACACAUUCUUUCUCUUUCUCGGUCCUGAUGCCAUCCCAGCACACCUCAGACAUACUGGCACCACCAUAAUUUUGGCAGACUCAUUGCCCUACCUAGCAUAGUCUACAAUUUCUCAGAGAUGAGGAUGUACUCCCUGGAUUAGAGUGAAAAAUCAAGCCUGUCCCUUAAACAUCAUCAGAAAAUGGCCGUGUCUGAGACUGUUCAGUCAACAGUGUCCUGGAAUGUAGCUGAGUUUCUUUAGAAUAGAUACAGUCUAAAAUGACAGGUUCCAAACACUCAGGAUUAGGCUCUACGAGAAAGUCUCAUUAAAGCUAUAAACGUUUUGAGAGGAAUAUUACACAAGAGACUGUUGACCCUAAAUCACUUCCACCCAUAACUCUCUUUGCCUCCUGGAGCUCAGACUCUGUAACAAGUACAUCGCUUGAGUCUGCAUAUAUAACACACCCCUAGGGCUAGAGGUGGGGAGGUAAGAGUAGGGUUUUCAAACAUGUGACCUAUUGGUUUGCUAGUGGCUAAAAGCAGAGAAGGGGCGGGGGACCUAAUCUCAGACCAGCAAGUAGAAUUCUACAUCAAUAAAAUCAUCAAAUAAGCAUGUCACCAGAAACUCCUAAAACUAAAAUGGCAGGGCCUGGUGCCUGGGAUGGCACAGAAGUUGACCACAGCUCUCCACCCAGAAGGGUGGGCGUUAGGGUUCCACCCCGGAAAGCAGAGCAGCUUAGGGUUUCUCCUCUAACCCCUUUUUUAAAAAGGACACCACACCUUCUUAGUACCUCAGGCACAGCAAAAAACAGAAGGAGAGUACUUUCUGAUUUGUGAUUUCUCAGAAACCAAGAGAUAAUUCAUACCAGAGAUAUUAAACGAAGAAACAUAGCUUUUAUAGAUUUAAGGGGGAAGAAGGAAAAGAGGCAGAGGCUGAGAUCCCCAGUUGGGGCGAGAAUAUAGAAGUUCACAGCUACCACACUCAGAAGAUUCUGAGCUCCCAAAGGGAACAUGCCCAGAUCCUCAUUCACACCAGGAGAGGUAAGAUUAGGUAUGCUCUAUAAAGAGUAGGAAGCUCCUAUCACCUAGAGGGACACCAUUCAUGGAGCAACAUCCACUCAGAUUUCUUUAAGAGUGAACUAUGUUAGAGGAGACCUGGAAAUCUGCAUGGCCCACAAUAUGGAUUCAGUUCCAUUCACGCUAUCCCAUCAUGAGGUUCCAGGCAGCUACCAAGUAAUAGAGAAGACUAUUUAGAAGUAAGGAAAGGCAGUCAUGAUAUAUCGUUAGAUGAAAACUAGUUUUUUUAAAUCUCAUUUUAUUAAUUAGUAUGCAUACUAUAUAAUAUACAUACACACACAUAUAUAUAUUUACACAUGUAUAUACAGAUUCAGAGGAAAAUCAGAACAUUAUUGAGGUGUUAAUCAAACAUCUCUUGGUCACUUCUAAGGGUUUUGCACCAUUUAAUCUAAACAACUCAAUGAUGCAGGGUAUAAUGUUCAACUUCAGAGACACAUGAAGAAACAGGCAAAUAAGUUGUGACUAGCUCAAGGUCAUACAAAUCACCAGGGACACAGCAGGGAUUCAAACCCCUGCAGGAUAGUUCCAGUGCCCAUAUUCUUAGCCCAAAGCUGGUGUGUUGCUUGGGAUCACUUUUCCUUUUUGUGAACAUCUGUAU